CCGACAAUCUACGAAGGGGCAUACUUCACAAAGUGGACAAAAACGCAUCAAAGUGUAGUAUUAAUUGGGGAUUCAGUUAUCUAGAGGAAAAAACUACAAAAGUUUAUAUACCCUGAGAAGACAGGAGAGGAAAUAGAUCGGGAGAUCCGAUACAAAGGCUCUAACAUAAAGGCCACGCAUGUUAUACUGUAGUUCAUUGUGGCACGAACAACCUAACAACUGAUGCAGCAAAUGUUUGUGUCCGCAAAAUUCAACAACAAUGUAUGACGGCGAUAAAGGUAUUUCCAAAUGCGCAGAUUGGUGUGAUGAUAUCCUUGUCCAUGAUAAAAUAAGAGAUGUAAACAAUGCAAUUAAAGAAGUGUGUGUAACAAAUAAUUACUCUUUUAUACACCAUAAUAAUAUUGAUGAGUCAUGUUUAAACAAAAAUGAGUUGCAGUUGAAUGCAAAAGGAUCCGCUCUACUUGCGGUUGAUUUUAUAAAUUUCUUACGUGGAAGGAAACGAUUAUCACACAUCAAUAAGCAAAAAAUUUGGUUGGAAGAAACAUUACGCCUAUUGGGAACUGUGCUUGGGAUGGCGAGAAGGCGGACUCUCUAACAUUAAGUUGUUUGAACUCUGAACCCAAUAUUUCAUAUUUAGUGCCAACCAAUACGACUUCAAUGGAACUUGAUAAUGAUUCAGUUUCGAUGAAUUCAACUUUUCAAUCGAUUGAUUUCAAUUUUUCUAACUUAAAGGGUUUGAAGCAGUGACGUAGCCAAGGGAGCGAGGGGGCAACCGCACACCCAAUCGAAAAAAAUCC